rnacentral:lncRNA from 1 species
UGCUAACUGAUUUCCGCUGCGGAGUUAUAUGGGAUUCUCUUUUUCUAUAUAGGCAACUUUCAUGUUAGCUGGGAUAUUCUUGCUCACAGUUUUUAGGGUUUCCAUCCUGUGGUUGUAGUAAAAAGUAUAUAUAGUACAACCCAUCGUUCCCUCUCUCCCCUCCCAGUAAACGCAACUCCAUCUUAACUCUCUCAUUAGAGCGUCGUAUGCCUAAUGAUGUCUUCCCAGAUAGCAGCUAAUUAUUGGGUUUUGGUUUUGGUUUGGAUUUGCUUUUUUUCCCUUUUGCCGUGGUUUUGCCAUCCUCCAGAGGAUGAGAACUUGAUUGAAAGCUAAUCGUGAAAUGCCACAAAUAGUGUGGCUUUGGGACACGAUGGUGCCCAAACUUCAGGGGAACCUCAGCAAACUUCUGACCUCCCUUUUAGUGACCCCCGGGGUAGUUGCAGACCCGGAAACACUCUCCCUCCAGCCUCCCACUAAAGUUAAUGGGUCAAACAAGCUCCCUCUCCUUUAUUUGCCAAAUAUUUACAUCAUCCAAAGUACAGAUGACGUGUCUGUUCGUGCCUUCAUCACCUCACAGCCGAAUUAUUCCUUCCAGGCAACGCUUUCCAAAGGGUUACGGGAGCACGGGGCUCCCCCGGCAGCAGGGUUGGCAGAGGGCUGCGCCAGGAGAUGGCAGAUGAUUUCACACCGCAAAGAACUCGCGAAGCAACAUGGCGUUGUGGGAGCGGAUGACAGUCGGUAAUUAGUGGCAGGCUGCGGGGAUCUUCCUCGCUCACAAUGGGAAGGAAGCUGCUCGGAGCGGGGACACGGAGCUGGCACAGCGGCAGGGAAGCGGCCUCGAGUUGCGUGCAAGAGUCGGAGGAAUUUCUUCCUUUAGGUAUCGGUGCUUAGGACCGGGGGGCACGCUUGGCUAGAGACGGACCUUCAUUGUUCGGCCGCUCGUUAUCCUGCAUGUCACAGAGGUUGCUACGAGACCACUCCCUUUUCUCUGUGCCACUAUUGGACUAAAUCUACUUGGGCUCCCGGGACGUCGCGAAUUGUCUUCAGAGCGUGGGAACCCCGGCGUGUGCCCUCAGCUCCGCUCAGCAGCUUGGCACCGCCGCCGCUUCUUCUCCCCGGGUAUCUCGGGCUGCUCCUGCCGGGCUGGGGCUGCUCCUCCUGCCCCGGAAACAAUGGGAGCUCCCGGCCCAUUGUGUGGGCUCAGCGCAGAGCCGUGCGUGGGUGCGGGGACACGGGUGGCCGUGCCCAGGUGGGAGCCGCCGUGUGCGGGGUCAUCAGGGACCGGCUCAGCCCCCGCACGGCCCGGAUAACCGCGGGGCUCAAACGCAGAGAUCUGGGUCGUUUCCAGAAUAAAGAACGUGUUGGAAGCGCAGUCAGCUGUCGGGUAUUUAAGAAUGGGAUUUAGCCCGCAACAGGGCCACAUAUGUAAGUGCUUAUCUAAAGAAGACAUAAAAUACAAUAAGCUUUGGGGGAAAAAUUCAUGAUUCAGCAAAAAUAAAGGGAGUAAUAUAUUUACCCGGAGAUGCAAGUUAUCAGCUAGCGUGCAUUUGGCUGGUGUAAUGUUUAAAGGAAAAUACUGUAUAAUUCCUGUUUGGAGAACGUGUUCACGGUAUGGGUGGAAAAACAUUAGUUCCAUCUAACAUGAAGAGUAGCAAAUGUCUGUUGUUAUUAAAGGCAGCACGUAAUAUAUAUACCUGAGAAAUGUACUCUAGGCGCUAGAAAGCAUUUUCUAGACUCCGGUUUUACUAGUGUUUUACCGAAUAAAAUUUUAACAGAAAUGCGUGUGCAUGGUGAAAUGUAAAGCUAAUUGGAGAACACGGGAUCGUAUCGCGGUAUCGGGUAACUCUCUGCUGGGAGGUGGAUGGUGCAGGGAGCACCCAGGGCUUGAGCCGAGGGCACGUAGGCGCUGCAAAGCACUCAGCCGAGGCCAGCUGGCUGCCUCUGCCCCGCACCCGG